rnacentral:rRNA from 1 species
CCGUGAGGGAAAGAUGAAAAGCACUUUGAAAAGAAAGUUAAUAGUACGUGAAACCGUUAGUAGGGAAGCGCAUGGAAUUAGCAAUGCUUUGUAGAGAUUCAGGCUCGCGGAGUUGUGCACUUGUGUUGUGUAGAUCUGAAUGGACUACCUGCAUUCGUCGCGGAACUUUGCUUGUCGCAUUUCUCUGCAGAGUGCGUCAACAAGUGUUGGGGCUGAGUGACAAGUCUCCGUAGAAGGUAGCUCGCUUCGGYGGGUGUUAUAGCUGCGGAUGUACCAACUCAGAAUUGACAGAGGUGUUGCGGUACGUGCUCUUCGGGGCUGGCCUUCCAGGCUUUGUGUUGCUGUCGAGCAUAACGGACUGCGUGCAGUGCGUUUGAACUGUAGUGGCUCAAGGUCGGGAUGAGGUACAAACGUGCCAAGGUUGUUGGCGGUCAUAUGGUUUCAUGCGACCCGUCUUGAAACACGGACCAAGGAGUCUGACAUGUGUGCGAGUCUUAGGGUGAAAGAAACCCGUGGGCAUAAUGAAAGUAAAGGCUACUUGUAGCUGAAGUGAGAUCUGUUCUCUCCGGAGAGCAGCGCAUCAUUGACCGACCUAUUCUACUCCUAGAAAGGUUUGAGUAAGAGCACAUCUGUUGGGACCCGAAAGAUGGUGAACUAUGCUUGAGUAGGCGAAGCCAGAGGG